CACGCGUACCCUUUUUUUGCCAUUGAAAAUUUCUCUCAAAUUUAUAUUUCCUCUUACAACUUAAUUUCUGAUAAAUUAUCUUCAUAUCAACGCCUUAAUUUUUGGCAAAUUGAAGCUCCGUAAAUUGGGAAAAUUUAGGAAUCUUUAUUUCACCGCCUUAAUUUUUGGUAAAUUCAGAUGCAAAUUCUGGAAAGUUGAUCAUUGUAUCUUUCAUGGAAAAGGAGAACACACUCAACACAACACCCCCAGACAUUGCAAUGGACACUGCAGAAAGUAAUAAAACAAAAAAUUCACAAUACUGGCACAACCACAAAAGACAAUCAGUGUAAAACAACUAAAGCAACUACUUCACAUGUCAGACAUGCUUCAGAGCUAAAAACUCUACCUCUGAAAAAGUGCCACAAGUGAAACAUCUUUUGCUCUCUACUUUUGGACUACCGUUGGGAGCUGUUUUUUCCUGCAUCCUAAAGCAUACAUCUAACGAUGCUAUGUAUCAUGUAUAUACUAAAGAUGACCGUCUCUGUUCUCCUGCAUAGGUCUCAGUCAUACAUUUGCAGAGCCCAACCUGAAGAUGCAUCAACUCUUUUUUUGUAUCUAUCUAUGUAAAUUAUAUGUACAGUACCAUUUUGCAAAACAUGACUCCUUAAUAUUCACAUAUAUAUGUAUAUAUAUGUGUGUAUGUAUACAUAUAAAAUGUGUAUGCUACAAGCUUGUUCCCCUGAGCUCAAUCGUACUAAUUAAAAUAUUCUACUGUUCAAACUUCCUACUUUCAAGAUAAAUUCUAAAACUUAAAAAUUGAAAUCCACAUGUUUUAUUGUUGAGCCCGUACUUAGGUGAAUGACCAAUGGUGUUUUCGUAAAUUUAGCUUCAACUAAGGGCAAAGUGGUAAUUGUCAGUGAUUAAAUAAAACUCCAGAAGCAUGUUCUCCCUCAGUCUCUCAUUCCUAACCAAAAAAAAGGACGCUUCUCUUCAUCUGCUAUUCAUCAUUUGCGCAUCACCACUCACACUAAUUGAUUUCAUAUUAUCUCAAUUUCAGUUUGUACCAGCGGCUUGUGUUUUUGGCUCAUCAUGGACUGAUUGGCACAGAAUAUUUUUUAGAACAAAGCAAAAUGAGUCCACAGAUUAUAUGAUAUGUCUACCUGCUUAUGGAGCUGUUUAUUGGAGCGUGGUUUGGUGCUUGGCCAAUGGCACUUGAUUGGGAAAGCCCAUAGCAGCUAUACCAGAAUGAAUGCAAAAGAUAAAGUGAUCAAAAGAAGGAAAGAAAAAAGGUUGGCACUAUGUGGCUACUUUUUAUCGGGGUAAGAUCAGAUUGCAUUGCCAUCUGUAAAAAAAUUUUGCUCGAGUUAGGGAAUCACUUAAGUCUAUUUUGUCAACAGGAUCUCCAUGUUCCACACUGAGAUUCUAAGUAAAAUAAAAUAGCUUGUGCUAUAUCCUGAUUCAAGGAGUUCCUAAGACAUGCCCUCACAUUAUUUUUUUGUUAUUUGAGCAUAUAUGACCAUUACGAAGGUAUGAAAUUUGAUUUUUUUCUUGCUUGAGGUAUGCUUGUGUAAAUUAGAAUAAAAGCUAAUUAAGUACUAUGUAGCAACAUUAGUACAUGCAUCUUCCAUUAUAAUGUCCUUUUAUGUUUUUCCUUUACUAAAAAAUUACAUCAAAACAUACAUCACUUACUUGCGAGAUGAAUGGAAACGAUAGCAGUUAAGGUGAAAAACGAAACAUGGAGAGGCAGUUUUAUACCGAAAUUGUUUCACACAUUUGUUUGUAUCACGUUGUGUCUUAGUUCUUGUUACUCUAGCUGAUUUUCUAUAAUUAUCUUGAAUUUACCAGCUGUUAGCUGCUGCAGCCACACAUGUUAAAUGUAUAUAUUUCUUGUGUAAUCCUUUUGCUUGAUCAAUUUGCAUUAAAUGUAUAUAUUUCUUGUGUAAUCUUUUUGCUUGAUCAAUUUGCAUUUGUUACCAGUUAACAAAGCCAUAGUUAUUACCGACUCACAGAUUUCCUUGGUGCUUGAGUGCUAAUUUAGUCAAAUGCAUUUUCAUUUCCUAUGUCUUAGAACUGGAGGGAAAGAUCCUUUUUAUGUAUAAGUUAUGCUCUUCAUGAAAAGAUCACAUUUUCCUAUUUUGCAGACCUCUGCACGGGGUUGGAAAAUGUUUUAGUAAAUGAUUUAUUCUCGUUUACGGCACAAUUGGUAUUUGCAUUUAAGAAUGGCAUAUUUAUGUGACUUAUAGAGCUAUAGUUGGUUACCUCGUGGGGCUUGUAGCAUCCUUGGACUGCAUUUUCUUCCGUAACUGCCAACAACAUCUAAAAGAAGAGUAGUGUCUGGCUUCUGGGAAUCAGCCAAGGAAGGCCCAUGAUACUACAGCAAUAGUCUUGAGACGAAGUUGGGCCUUUGUUACUCUGGUGCAGAGAAAAAUGAUAUCCAAUUUUGCUCUCUUCCUAAAUUCACUAUUCUUUUUCUUUAAUUAAGUCUAAUUGUAAUUCUUUUUGGCAAAUUGUGAAAUACACACAUGACGAGAUAAUGCAGUAGAGGAGUUGAAAAAGGCAAGCAUUGACGUGAUCCCAAUUGAUGAUGAUUCUUUGAGAAAAUCUGGUCUUUGAGAACGUAUGAACAUAUUCUACUAAAUAGUGUUUUAAAAACCCUGGUAAAGACCAAGCUUGUUCCUAAUCCUUUCUUUGGGCUGGGAAAUGAAUCAAUUAUCGACAUUGGUGAUUCACGGAGGGAUGAGGGAACACUACACUUUCUGAUUUUGUACCACCUUUGAAUUCAAAUAAUCAGAAUGCGGAUCUUAAUUUUCGGACUAUUAUUGUUCUGCUGAAGUCUAUCUGAAUGGGCACAAGGAGGUGCUUCCAAAGGGAAUGUUGAGGAGGCAUUCUAUUGAUAUCACUGACAUUCUGCUGGUUGUGCUUGUCUAUCCUCCUGAUCAUCCAUGGCGUAUUUCUCCUCAGGUUGGUCAAGGUAGUGAUCAUGAGGUAUUCUUCAAAUUAAACUUAAGCCAAAUCAUCUUGGAAGUUUUUACUAUUCUCAUCUGAGGGCACAUUAUGAUAAUUCUCUCAUGGGAGACAUAAAUAUAAUCACACAAAAAAUACGUGCUGCAUAUCAGUUUCCCGGAAAAUGUUCUCCUUGCAAAAGUCAUUAUCUAGUGUUUGGUUAGGAAAACAUUUUCACGCAGAGGGAAAACUGACUUCCCUCGCUGAUGGGUGGAAAGUGUAUUCUUAGAACUAUCUUAAACUUUAACUUCAUAGUACUUGUUCCAACUAACACACUAUAAUUAACUUUUAGCUCUUGAAAUUUAUAUCAGAACACUCCCUUAUUUUUGAUACGCAUAAAUUUUUAACAUAUGUUGUUUUAAGGAAAUAUUUGCUCUCACCAUCCAAGACCAUAACAUCUUCCUAGAUUACAUAUGAGACAAAAUGGUUGGUGUCUGGUUGUUUAUCUCUUAGCAGGAACUUUAAACUGUAAUAUUGAAGUGCAAAAUCCCAGGCUUAGCAGGAAUAUGAGGGACUUAACCCUAUUAAGCAAAAUGAGGUCAAAUUCCUUUGCAAUGAGGAAAAGCUUAGUCUAUAGUGCGAGAAAGGGCCACUGGCUAUUCUAUACCCUGACUAUGUGCAUAAUAACAACUCCAAGGUUACGGAUUAUAUUGAUGGUGGUAAUUGGAACAUGUAUAAAUUAACGGAAGAUCUCCCUAAACAUAUUCUUAUAUAUUGCAAAUAUUCCUGUUGGGGAUGCUAAUGAAAAUGAUUGUGCUUUCUGAAACAAUACUCAGGAUGGCUAAUAUACAAAUUCUUCUGCUUGGCAAAGCAUAAGAAAAGUGAGACAGAAUGAUGGCAUCUUGAGUAAGGUUUGGCACAAGUACUUACCUUUCAAAAUAUCUUUUUUACCUGGAGAACGGUGCUAAAAAAGCUCUCUUUUGAUGAAGUGCUUCAAAGACUUGGUAAUCCUAUGAAUACUACAUGCCUAUGCUGCACAACACCGCAAAAUGAAUCAAUUCAACGUGUGUUCAGUGAUAGUGAGAUUGCUAGAGCACAUACGGAACUACUUUGGAAACCCCCUUGGAAUUAAUCACCAAGGGGGAAACCUUAGAAUUUUCUUCAGUGCUUGGUGGAAUAUGAACACUGCCAACAGUAUGCAUAAAAUGGUACAACAAAUCACCCCAUGUGUAUAGCAUGUUUUUAAAGCCACCAACGGAUAUAACAUUAUAGGCCUUGGGAGAUUUUAUUUGGGGUGAAGACUCAUACUUCCACAAAUAUGAAGAAAAUUUUGCUUCUUAUAAAUUUUUCGAAGAGACGACAGAAACUGAAUGAAUUUUCAUGUGUACUGAAGAUAUACUUUUUGUCAUUGUUUAAUUCAAGAGGUAAAACUGUUGAAGCAUACCCAAAUGUAAAUGUCCAAUCAAAUACAUGUAUUGAUGAUAGUAUCGGUGCAAGUGAUCUUACUUUUUGAGCA